CGCGGUGCGCUGGGUGGGCUACGGGGGCGCGCCGAUCGCCCCGUCGUUGGUGCGCUCGGUGAAGGACGCGUUCGGGCACGCCACCGUGU
rnacentral:tRNA from 2 species